GAUGAACGCUGGCGGCGUGCCUAAUACAUGCAAGUCGAGCGAACAGACGAGGAGCUUGCUCCUCUGACGUUAGCGGCGGACGGGUGAGUAACACGUGGAUAACCUACCUAUAAGACUGGGAUAACUUCGGGAAACCGGAGCUAAUACCGGAUAAUAUAUUGAACCGCAUGGUUCAAUAGUGAAAGACGGUUUUGCUGUCACUUAUAGAUGGAUCCGCGCCGCAUUAGCUAGUUGGUAAUGUAACGGCUUACCAAGGCAACGAUGCGUAGCCGACCUGAGAGGGUGAUCGGCCACACUGGAACUGAGACACGGUCCAGACUCCUACGGGAGUCAGCAGUAGGGAAUCUUCCGCAAUGGGCGAAAGCUUGACGGAGCAACGCCGCGUGAGUGAUGAAGGUCUUCGGAUCGUAAAACUCUGUUAUUAGGGAAGAACAAAUGUGUAAGUAACUAUGCACGUCUUGACGGUACCUAAUCAGAAAGCCACGGCUAACUACGUG
rnacentral:rRNA from 1 species